GGGAAUGUAGCUAAGUGAUAGAGCACUUGCUUAGUAUGUAUGAAGCCCUGGGCUCAAUCCCCAGUAUUGCAA
rnacentral:tRNA from 1 species